GACGAACGCUGGCGGCGUGCUUAACACAUGCAAGUCGAACGCUGAAGCUCAGCUUGCUGGGUGGAUGAGUGGCGAACGGGUGAGUAACACGUGAGUAACCUGCCCUCUUCUUUGGGAUAACGCCCGGAAACGGGUGCUAAUACUGGAUAUUCACUGAUUCUCGCAUGGGGGUUGGUGGAAAGGUUUUUUCUGGUGGGGGAUGGGCUCGCGGCCUAUCAGCUUGUUGGUGGGGUGAUGGCCUACCAAGGCUUUGACGGGUAGCCGGCCUGAGAGGGUGACCGGUAACAUUGGGAAUGAGAUACGGCCCAGACUCCUACGGGAGGCAGCAGUGGGGAAUAUUGCACAAUGGGCGAAAGCCUGAUGCAGCGACGCCGCGUGAGGGAUGGAGGCCUUCGGGUUGUAAACCUCUUUCGCUCAUGGUCAAGCCGCAGCUUUGGGUUGUGGUGAGGGUAGUGGGUAAAGAAGCGCCGGCUAACUACGUG
rnacentral:rRNA from 1 species